GAGUGUUUUCUUGGAAGUCAGGCUGGGCUUCAGGGUAAUGCCAGCCCAUCGGAGCCCUCACAGCAGCUGGCUUCCAGCGCUGACAGAGUCUCAGCCCAGUCCUGGCUGGGGUCCAGGCUGCCUCCCACCCCUGCGGGGACACAGCCAGCUUCUCUCAGCUCUGGCCAUCUGCUCUCAGCCUCCCGUCCCUAAUCCGGGUGCGAAAGGAACACAGGCACUCGGCUCUCCUUCUCUUCCCACCCUGAAGAUAAGCGCAUGCCUUUUAAGGAGUUUGCCGCCGACCCCUUCAGGGAAAGCACAGUGAGUAACAGAGGCAUCGUGAAAACGAGGGAUUUACAAAUGUUUCAGACUUGAAGCAGCUGUUACAGCCCCGGCCGCUGGUGGGUGAACUUCCUGUCUGACCCGACUUGAAGAGGCCCACCUGCCCCAGGACAGAUGACCCCGCCAGGAUUCCAGCGUGGAGUCCCUGCAUGCGUUAGCUGGCUGCCAGCCCUUGGUUCCCAAGAGCUCAACAACAAGAACACAAAAUCGGGGCCACUGAGAAGCCGGACGCCAGCCCAGAAACCCUGGACAUCACACAAUGCACUGACGUGAAUUUACACUAUGCACCAUGCCCUCAAAAUUGCCUUUUGUUUCUGGUUGUUGCAGUUCCUUGGACCUUUUUCCAUGAUCCACCCUGGGGUUGGGGUUCUCUUUUUCAGACACCUAAAUACAAACAGUCUCGUUGUUCCUCUGUGUCUGAAAGACCUCCGAAAGCAGCACACCUUGGCCACUCCAGCCCCCUACCCGAUGGCUAGCCUCAGUGCUGAUUCCCCUGCCCAUGGACCACCAAGAGUCCAGAGCUCAGGCUGCCCCAGAGAAGAGCUCCCACUGCCCAGGAGCUGCUCCAACUCUCUCUGUGCCCAUCUCAGUGCCCUGUGCUAAGAUGCAAUCUUCCAGGGGCCUCUGGGGCUUGCACAGCCGCUGACCCGGCCUUCCACAGACGCAAGUGUCCAAGGAGGACAGAAACAACAGCCAGCACCCAGUGCAAAGGACAUAUGGGAUCACAACCUUUGAAGCCCGAUAACCUGGUUUGAAACCCCAGCUCACACCUACCAGCUGUGUGCCAAGGUACCCUCUCUGAGCCUCAGUCAUGCACCUUGCAACAGUAUGGACCUCAUGGAACUAUUCAAUGGCAGGAUAUAAAGCACUCAGCCCGGAGCCUGGCACACGGUGCCAAAGGGUGGCCUCAGUUGGCAUCACGCUGGUCCAGGUGUCUGAGUAGUCAGGUAGGGUGACGCAGACCUCUUCCAGCCUCGUGCCCAUCCACGAACUUACUUGGCAUCUCAGGCACAAUUGGAGGAGGCUGGGUCUUGGCCAGGGAGCACAGGAGGUUUCUCACCGUGGCAGGGAAAUUGCUGGCUUGGGGGUGCGGACAGCCACAGUGACCGUCUCUCUGCAGGACGGAUGCGGCUUUGCUGACAGAGAGUCUGCGGCCUGGACAUACCAGCGGUGCAGGUCUGAGGUCAGCAGUGGGGAGCCGGGCCCACCACGGCCUCACCAUCCCCGGCAGGGCCCCACCAGGGCAAGGCAUCUGCUUCCAAUCAGCUGCCCCUCAGCCCAGGGAGGGGGCGGGGGGGCUGAGGCCUCCUCCCCAGGCUGGGCUCUCACCAGGCAGAACGGACAUCAAGAGCAAAGAAAUCAGGGAGACACUCCGGGGUUCUGGGUCCAGGGGCCCAGGCCAAACAGAAAAGGACUGGAAAUAGAGGUUUAUUGUUAGCUCAUUUAAAGGAAAUCCUCCUAGCUCCCUGUUGCAAAACCACACCCAGUCGAGCCCAGUCAGUACCCCCAAGCCCCUCCUGGCUCAUGCAUCUGGCUUGUUCCCCACUACAGACUUUGCACUAACCCCCUGUGCCUGGGGGUCCCUCUCCUGCUCUGUGCCCGGCUGACCCCUCAUCCUUCAGCUUAAAUCCCAUUUCCUUAGGAAAACCUCCUUGGCCCCAUGUUUGGUCCCAAUUAAACAACCUUGUUUGGCAUGAUUCGGUUUGUACUUACGUAGUUAUCUGUGUAAGUCAGAAUUGCAUCUGUCUCCCUUGAGACCAUAUCCCUAAAAUCCAGCAUGGAGCCUGGCACAGAGCACGUGCUCAAU